UACGUAGGGUGCAAGCGUUGUCCGGAAUUAUUGGGCGUAAAGAGCUUGUAGGCGGUUUGUCGCGUCUGCUGUGAAAACUCGGGGCUUAACCCCGAGCCUGCAGUGGAUACGGGCAGACUAGAGGUAGGUAGGGGAGAAUGGAAUUCCCGGUGUAGCGGUGAAAUGCGCAGAUAUCGGGAGGAACACCGGUGGCGAAGGCGGUUCUCUGGGCCUUACCUGACGCUGAGGAGCGAAAGCGUGGGGGAGCGAACAGG
rnacentral:rRNA from 1 species